GACGAACGCUGGCGGCGUGCUUAACACAUGCAAGUCGAACGGAAAGGCCCUGCUUUUGUGGGGUGCUCGAGUGGCGAACGGGUGAGUAACACGUGAGUAACCUGCCCUUGACUUUGGGAUAACUUCAGGAAACUGGGGCUAAUACCGGAUAGGAGCUCCUGCUGCAUGGUGGGGGUUGGAAAGUUUCGGCGGUUGGGGAUGGACUCGCGGCUUAUCAGCUUGUUGGUGGGGUAGUGGCUUACCAAGGCUUUGACGGGUAGCCGGCCUGAGAGGGUGACCGGCCACAUUGGGACUGAGAUACGGCCCAGACUCCUACGGGAGGCAGCAGUGGGGAAUAUUGCACAAUGGGCGGAAGCCUGAUGCAGCAACGCCGCGUGCGGGAUGACGGCCUUCGGGUUGUAAACCGCUUUCGACUGUGACGAAGCGUGAGUGACGGUAAUGGGUAAAGAAGCACCGGCUAACUACGU
rnacentral:rRNA from 1 species